rnacentral:rRNA from 1 species
AGAGUUUGAUCCUGGCUCAGAACGAACGCUGGCGGCAGGCCUCAAACAUGCAAGUCUAGGGGGUGUAGCAGUACAUCACCGGCGGACGGGUGCGUAACGCGUGGGAAUAUACCUAUUGGUUCGGAACAACUGAGGGAAACUUCAGCUAAUACCGGAUAAGCCCUUACGGGGAAAGACUUCUCGCCAAUAGAUUAGCCCGCGUCCGAUUAGCUAGUUGGUGGGGUAAAAGCCUACCAAGGCAACGAUCGGUAGCUGUUCUGAGAGGAAGAUCAGCCACACUGGGACUGAGACACGGCCCAGACUCCUACGGGAGGCAGCAGUUGGGAAUCUUGGACAAUGGGGGAAACCCUGAUCCAGCCAUGCCGCGUGAGUGAUGAA